CUGUUUCUGUAGCAGUUGGUUUUCCUCUUUCAGCAUCUUUUCCUGUUGAAAGCAAAAGGCAUUCUUCAGAAAAAUUGAAGGUACCUAUUUCUGUUUUACCAAAUAAAUAAAUAAAAAAAGAAAGAAAUCUGCUUCUGAUAUUACUUCAUUAAUGUUGAAUUGCAAACAAGCAUACAGCAACACCUGAGCACACGGCACCAAAGAAAACAGCAGAUAGCAGGAUGCAUGGAACAGGCAGGCGUUCUUAGUUAUGAGCAAGGUGUUUCGGAGGGCCCAAAUUCUGGAAGCUUCUUGUGGUCCUUUGUAUCAGAAUGCUAUUUAGGUCAAAAUUAGAGCUUCCAGAUAAAAACGAGGAUCCUAAGCUCAUGAUGUCUUGCUGUGUCCAUGAUGGAUUCAUGCAUUGAUUGCAAACAUAAACAUAGAUAUUGCAUGGAUGAUUUUCAAAGCUCACUUUUGGUGUUGGUGAUCGACUUUUAGAGUAAAUUUCGGGCAAAAUGACGAGGAAUUAUGUUCAUUUCUACCGGUUCAAGCAUCUAUCACCAAGUGAACCAAAUAUGGUCCAGUGGAUUAUUAUUUUUCUGUUUCGAACGAAAAGAUUCUAAUUCAUGUUCUAGAUCAGGUAUUGAGGGAUAAAGCUUGAUUCCAAAAAGGCAUGGUUUGGUGGAAUUAUUGGGGCAUGAUUUUCCUUUCCCAGGGUUUCCAAUAUAGAGUUUUUAAAACGUCGAAUGGAGUGACAUGAAACAUAGAACAGGGUAAUAUGUUACUCAGAAUGACAUUCGCCAAGUAACACUGAAGCGGUAAUAAGACGACACACUUGCAUACC